rnacentral:tRNA from 1 species
GAGUCAUUGUCUGAGUGGUUAAUAGAGGCGGAUUGUAAAUCCGCUAGCUUUGCUUGCGCUGGUUCGAAUCCAGCAUGGCUCA